GUCUUUUCUUUUUGGUAGAAUCGUAAUCGGAAAUAAAAAUGUAACACAACGAUGUGAGACGCGUCGAAGAAACGAGGCCGUUCGUGGCUUUUCCUCGAAUCGCCUUGGGAAACGAAUGAAAUUGGAUGAAAGUCGACCGACUGCUCUCAAACCGCCAUUUUCGUUGCACAAAGUAGGUCUGUGACAACGUCGACGAAGACUCUUAAGAAGAAGAAGAAGAAGAAGAAGAGGAGGAGGAGGAGGAGGAGGAGAAAGAGGAGGAGGAGAAUAGGAGUCGAGUGUUUUCGGUUAAAGCUCGCUCGGCGAACUUAAAGAAUCUCCCUAUCUCGUCGUUGCUUCCGUAACUGAAAAACAAAAGGAAAAGGGGGAGCAAAAAUGAAAAAAAAAAAAAAAAAAAAAAAAGAAAGAAGAAGAAAGAAGAAAAAGAAGAAGAAGAAAAGGAGAUGGAAAGAGAUAGAUAGGAGGGAAAAAAAAGAAAAGACAGAAUCGUAUCAGGAAACCAUUAAAUCUCAUUUUAUAAUACUCUUCAUUGUAAACUGUCUUCGAAUUGUGAAUGAUUGAAGUCAGAUUCUGCUGUUACAUUGCUGAAUCACUUGAAACUGCAGACUUCCGUUGAAUCUUCACAGGAUAACAAGCUUGCGACGUGGUACAAGAUGGUACUCGACGAGAGGAUGACUUGGGGUCGAGUAAGUACUUACCUCACGGUUAUAUAAAAGGCUUUACUUAAAAAGUUCACGAGAUCAUCAUGUCUAUAUUUGUAUAUCUACUUAUUCGUUUUGAAUUAUUAAAGAUAAUUAUCAA